rnacentral:pre_miRNA from 1 species
AGCUGAAUUGCUGGGCAGGGUCUCCUUUGGCAGAUGGUGGCGCCGUCAGACACCAGGGUGUGUCGGUGGUUGCCGGCCGGGCUGCUGCCAAAGGAAAUUUGCCCCGGAAUUCAUCU